rnacentral:tRNA from 1 species
GCGGCGAUGGCGAAACUGGUAGACGCACUACCUUGAGGUGGUAGCGCCUUUUAACGGGCGUGGGAGUUCGAAUCUCCUUUGCCGCA